AAAUUAAAGGGCCGCGGUAUUUUGACCGUGCAAAGGUAGCAUAAUCAUUAGUCUUUUAAUUGAAGGCUGGAAUGAAUGGUUUGACGAAAUAUUAACUGUCUCUUUAUAAUAGAUAUAAUUUAACUUCUGAGUUAAAAGGCUUAGAUGACUAUAAAAGACGAGAAGACCCUAUAGAUCUUUAUAUAGGGAUAUACCUAUUUUGUUUAGGUUAAUUUUUAAUUGGUAUAUUGCUGUAUUUUGUUGGGGUGACAUGAAGAUAAAAAUAACUCUUUAUUAUUAAUACAUUGAUUUAUGAAUAAUUGAUCCAUUAUUGAUGAUUAUAAGAUAAAGUUACCUUAGGGAUAACAGCGUAAUUUUUUUUGAGAGUUCUUAUCGACAAGAAAGAUUGCGACCUCG
rnacentral:rRNA from 1 species